rnacentral:rRNA from 2 species
GCCCAAAGGUUCCCUCAGAAUGGUUGGAAAUCAUUCGUAGAGUGUAAAGGCACAAGGGAGCUUGACUGCGAGACCUACAAGUCGAGCAGGGACGAAAGUCGGGCUUAGUGAUCCGGUGGUUCCGCAUGGAAGGGCCAUCGCUCAACGGAUAAAAGCUACCCCGGGGAUAACAGGCUUAUCUCCCCCAAGAGUCCACAUCGACGGGGAGGUUUGGCACCUCGAUGUCGGCUCAUCGCAUCCUGGGGCUGUAGUCGGUCCCAAGGGUUGGGCUGUUCGCCCAUUAAAGCGGUACGCGAGCUGGGUUCAGAACGUCGUGAGACAGUUCGGUCCCUAUCCGUCGUGGGCGUAGGAAAUUUGAGAGGAGCUGUCCUUAGUACGAGAGGACCGGGAUGGACACACCGCUGGUGUACCAGUUGUCUUGCCAAAGGCAUCGCUGGGUAGCUAUGUGUGGAAGGGAUAAGUGCUGAAAGCAUCUAAGCAUGAAGCCCCCCUCAAGAUGAGAUUUCCCAUAGCGCAAGCUAGUAAGAUCCCUGAAAGAUGAUCAGGUUGAUAGGUCAGAGGUGGAAGCGUGGCGACAUGUGUAGCUGACUGAUACUAAUCGAUCGAGGACUUAACCAAA